rnacentral:rRNA from 1 species
GUUUGAAAUGCUAGUUUUAGAAUCCCGAAAAGGAAACGAACCGCAAGGUAGCUAGCACAGGUGCUGCAUGGCUGUCGUCAGCUCGUGCCGUGAGGUGUUCCCUUAAGUGGGGAAACGAGCGCAACCCCCAUUCAAUGUUAAAAUAUUCAUUGAAAACUGACUACGUUCAAACGUGGAAGGAAGGAGGGGAAGACGUCAAGUCAGCAUGGCCUUUAUACCCUGGGCCACACACACACUACAAUGGCGAAAAACAACGAGCAGCGAGUACGCAAGUGCAAGCAAAUCUCUUAAAUUUCGCCUCAGUUCAGAUUGGAGUCUGCAACCCGACUCCAUGAAGCCGGAAUUGGUAGUAAUCGCAGGUCAGCAAACUGCGGUGAAUACGUUCUCGGGUCUUGUACACACCGCCCGUCAAGGCAGCAAAGUCGGGGGUAGCCGAAGGCUCCUGUUAUGGGGGACGAGGCUAAAUCCGGCGAUGAAGCUUAAGUCGUAACAAGGUAUCCCUAGCCGAAGCUGGGGAUGGAUCACCUCCUUU